GUGGGGAAUCUUGCGCAAUGGGCGAAAGCCUGACGCAGCCAUGCCGCGUGAAUGAUGAAGGUCUUAGGAUUGUAAAAUUCUUUCACCGGGGACGAUAAUGACGGUACCCGGAGAAGAAGCCCCGGCUAACUUCGUGCCAGCAGCCGCGGUAAUACGAAGGGGGCUAGCGUUGCUCGGAAUUACUGGGCGUAAAGGGAGCGUAGGCGGAAAGUUUAGUCAGAGGUGAAAGCUCAGGGCUCAACGUUGGAAUUGCCUUUGAUACUGGCUAUCUUGAGUAUGGAAGAGGUAUGUGGGACUCCGAGUGUAGAGGUGAAAUUCGUAGAUAUUCGGAAGAACACCAGUGGCGAAGGCGACAUACUUGUCCAUUACUGACGCUGAGGCUCGAAAGCGUGGGGAGCAAACAGGAUUAGAUACCCCAGUAGUCC
rnacentral:rRNA from 1 species